GGACUACACGGGUAUCUAAUCCUGUUUGCUCCCCACGCUUUCGCACCUCAGUGUCAGUCUAGACCCAGGCGGCCGCCUUCGCCACGGGUGUUCUUUCCGAUCUCUACGCAUUUCACUGCUACACCGGAAAUUCCACCGCCCUCUGUCCGACUCAAGUUGUACAGUCUUCAACGCCAUUCCCAGGUUAAGCCCAGGGCUUUCACAUCAAACUUAUACAUCCACCUACAUGCGCUUUACGCCCAAUAAUUCCGAUUAACGCUUGCACCCUCUGUAUUACCGCGGCUGCUGGCAC
rnacentral:rRNA from 1 species